GGACUACUGGGGUUUCUAAUCCCGUUUGCUCCCCUGGCUUUCGCGCCUCAGCGUCAGAAGAGGUCCAGCACGUCGCUUUCGCCACCGGCGUUCCUUCCGAUAUCUACGCAUUUCACCGCUCCACCGGAAGUUCCACAUGCCCCUACCUCCCUCCAGACCGCCAGUAUCCAGGGCUAUUUUCCGGUUGAGCCGAAAGAUUUCACCCCGGACUUGGCAGCCCGCCUACGCGCCCUUUAAGCCCAGUGAUUCCGAACAACGUUCGCACGGUUCGUCUUACCGCGGCUGCUGGCAC
rnacentral:rRNA from 3 species